rnacentral:rRNA from 1 species
UACGGAGGGUGCAAGCGUUAUCCGGAUUCACUGGGUUUAAAGGGUGCGUAGGUGGGUCUGUAAGUCAGUGGUGAAAUCUCCGAGCUUAAACUCGGAAACCUGCCAUUGAUACUAUAGGUCUUGAAUUAUCUGGAGGUGAGCGGAAUAUGUCAUGUAGCGGAUUGAAAUGCUUAGAUAUGACAUAGAAACACCAAUUGCGAAGGCAGCUCACUACGGAUAUAUUGACACUGAGGCACGGAAAGCGAUGGGGAU